UACGUAGGGGGCGAGCGUUGUCCGGAGUUACUGGGCGUAAAGCGCACGCAGGCGGUCUGUUAAGUUUGGAGUGACAGUUGGUGGCUCAACCACCAAAGUGCUUUGAAAACUGAUAGACUUGAGGGCUUCAGAGGGACACGGAAUUCCGGGUGGAGUGGUGAAAUGCGUAGAGAUCCGGAGGAACACCAAAGGCGAAGGCGGCGCCCUGGCUCGCAACUGACGCUCAGACACGACAGCAUGGGGAGCGAACGGG
rnacentral:rRNA from 1 species